rnacentral:rRNA from 1 species
UACAGAGGUCCCAAGCGUUGUUCGGAUUCACUGGGCGUAAAGGGUGCGUAGGCGGUCGGGUAAGUCUGACGUGAAAUCUCCGAGCUUAACUCGGAAAUGGCGGCGGAUACUAUCCGGCUCGAGGAAUGGAGGGGAGACUGGAAUUCUCGGUGUAGCAGUGAAAUGCGUAGAUAUCGAGAGGAACACCAGUGGCGAAGGCGAGUCUCUGGACAUUUCCUGACGCUGAGGCACGAAAGCUAGGGGAG